rnacentral:rRNA from 7 species
UUUGGUUAAGUUAGAAAGGGCGCACGGUGGAUGCCUUGACACUAGGAGUCGAUGAAGGACGGGACUAACGCCGAUAUGCUUCGGGGAGCUGUAAGUAAGCUUUGAUCCGAAGAUUUCCGAAUGGGGAAACCCACCAUACGUAAUGGUAUGGUAUCCUUAUCUGAAUACAUAGGGUAAGGAAGACAGACCCAGGGAACUGAAACAUCUAAGUACCUGGAGGAAGAGAAAGCAAAUGCGAUUUCCUGAGUAGCGGCGAGCGAAACGGAACAUAGCCCAAACCAAGAGGCUUGCCUCUUGGGGUUGUAGGACAUUCUAUACGGAGUUACAAAGGAACGAGGUAGACGAAGCGACCUGGAAAGGUCCGUCGUAGAGGGUAACAACCCCGUAGUCGAAACUUCGUUCUCUCUUGAAUGUAUCCUGAGUACGGCGGAACACGUGAAAUUCCGUCGGAAUCUGGGAGGACCAUCUCCCAAGGCUAAAUACUCCCUAGUGAUCGAUAGUGAACCAGUACCGUGAGGGAAAGGUGAAAAGCACCCCGGAAGGGGAGUGAAAGAGAUCCUGAAACCGUGUGCCUACAAAUAGUCAGAGCCCGUUAAUGGGUGAUGGCGUGCCUUUUGUAGAAUGAACCGGCGAGUUACGAUCCCGUGCGAGGUUAAGCUGAAGAGGCGGAGCCGCAGCGAAAGCGAGUCUGAAUAGGGCGUUUAGUACGUGGUCGUAGACCCGAAACCAGGUGAUCUACCCAUGUCCAGGGUGAAGUUCAGGUAACACUGAAUGGAGGCCCGAACCCACGCACGUUGAAAAGUGCGGGGAUGAGGUGUGGGUAGCGGAGAAAUUCCAAUCGAACCUGGAGAUAGCUGGUUCUCCCCGAAAUAGCUUUAGGGCUAGCCUUAAGUGUAAGAGUCUUGGAGGUAGAGCACUGAUUGGACUAGGGGUCCUCAUCGGAUUACCGAAUUCAGUCAAACUCCGAAUGCCAAUGACUUAUCCUUAGGAGUCAGACUGCGAGUGAUAAGAUCCGUAGUCAAAAGGGAAACAGCCCAGACCGCCAGCUAAGGUCCCAAAGUGUGUAUUAAGUGGAAAAGGAUGUGGAGUUGCUUAGACAACUAGGAUGUUGGCUUAGAAGCAGCCACCAUUUAAAGAGUGCGUAAUAGCUCACUAGUCGAGUGACUCUGCGCCGAAAAUGUACCGGGGCUAAAUACACCACCGAAGCUGCGGAUUGAUACCAAUGGUAUCAGUGGUAGGGGAGCGUUCUAAGGACAGUGAAGUCAGACCGGAAGGACUGGUGGAGUGCUUAGAAGUGAGAAUGCCGGUAUGAGUAGCGAAAGACGGGUGAGAAUCCCGUCCACCGAAUGCCUAAGGUUUCCUGAGGAAGGCUCGUCCGCUCAGGGUUAGUCAGGACCUAAGCCGAGGCCGACAGGCGUAGGCGAUGGACAACAGGUUGAUAUUCCUGUACCACCUCUUUAUCGUUUGAGCAAUGGAGGGACGCAGAAGGAUAGAAGAAGCGUGCGAUUGGUUGUGCACGUCCAAGCAGUUAGGCUGAUAAGUAGGCAAAUCCGCUUAUCGUGAAGGCUGAGCUGUGAUGGGGAAGCUCCUUAUGGAGCGAAGUCUUUGAUUCCCCGCUGCCAAGAAAAGCUUCUAGCGAGAUAAAAGGUGCCUGUACCGCAAACCGACACAGGUAGGCGAGGAGAGAAUCCUAAGGUGUGCGAGAGAACUCUGGUUAAGGAACUCGGCAAAAUGACCCCGUAACUUCGGGAGAAGGGGUGCUUUCUUAACGGAAAGCCGCAGUGAAUAGGCCCAAGCGACUGUUUAGCAAAAACACAGCUCUCUGCGAAGCCGUAAGGCGAAGUAUAGGGGGUGACACCUGCCCGGUGCUGGAAGGUUAAGGAGAGGGGUUAGCGUAAGCGAAGCUCUGAACUGAAGCCCCAGUAAACGGCGGCCGUAACUAUAACGGUCCUAAGGUAGCGAAAUUCCUUGUCGGGUAAGUUCCGACCCGCACGAAAGGUGUAACGAUUUGGGCACUGUCUCAACCAGAGACUCGGUGAAAUUAUAGUACCUGUGAAGAUGCAGGUUACCCGCGACAGGACGGAAAGACCCCGUGGAGCUUUACUGUAGCCUGAUAUUGAAUUUUGGUACAGUUUGUACAGGAUAGGCGGGAGCCUUUGAAACCGGAGCGCUAGCUUCGGUGGAGGCGCUGGUGGGAUACCGCCCUGACUGUAUUGAAAUUCUAACCUACGGGUCUUAUCGACCCGGGAGACAGUGUCAGGUGGGCAGUUUGACUGGGGCGGUCGCCUCCUAAAGUGUAACGGAGGCGCCCAAAGGUUCCCUCAGAAUGGUUGGAAAUCAUUCGUAGAGUGCAAAGGCAUAAGGGAGCUUGACUGCGAGACCUACAAGUCGAGCAGGGACGAAAGUCGGGCUUAGUGAUCCGGUGGUUCCGCAUGGAAGGGCCAUCGCUCAACGGAUAAAAGCUACCCCGGGGAUAACAGGCUUAUCUCCCCCAAGAGUCCACAUCGACGGGGAGGUUUGGCACCUCGAUGUCGGCUCAUCGCAUCCUGGGGCUGUAGUCGGUCCCAAGGGUUGGGCUGUUCGCCCAUUAAAGCGGUACGCGAGCUGGGUUCAGAACGUCGUGAGACAGUUCGGUCCCUAUCCGUCGUGGGCGUAGGAAAUUUGAGAGGAGCUGUCCUUAGUACGAGAGGACCGGGAUGGACGCACCGCUGGUGUACCAGUUGUUCUGCCAAGGGCAUAGCUGGGUAGCUAUGUGCGGAAGGGAUAAGUGCUGAAAGCAUCUAAGCAUGAAGCCCCCCUCAAGAUGAGAUUUCCCAUAGCGUAAGCUAGUAAGAUCCCUGAAAGAUGAUCAGGUUGAUAGGUUCGAGGUGGAAGCAUGGUGACAUGUGGAGCUGACGAAUACUAAUAGAUCGAGGACUUAACCAUAUAA